rnacentral:lncRNA from 1 species
UAAGAAAGGAGUUGGAGUUUGAGUUGAAGGAAGAUUGGGGAUAGAUAAAAGAUUUUGAGAGCGAGACUCCCCUUUCCGGACACCAUUUCUCCUCCUGCAUUCUGCUGAUACAGACUCCAUUACCUAUUUGCAUUUUCCUUUCCCAUUUCUAUCUAUUCUCUGUAAUAUAAUAGGAAACUCUUUCUUCUACCAUCCAUUACCUCAUAUCUCCACUUCCAAAUCUAUCAAUUUCAUCUAUUUGAUCUCGCCAGAGACAAUUGAUGCACGUUUUGUGACUUGGGAAAAUCAGCCGACCAGAAAAGCCCAAAGCGCGUUUCCUCGUC